GCUUAGGCACAAACAAAGAUUGAUAUCCGCCAGAAAAUUACGGGCAAAAGCCUAAAACUCAAAAGACUUGACGGUGUCUCAACCUACCUAGAGGAGCCUGUUCCAUAAUCGACAACCCCCGAUAAACCCAACCUUUCUUAGAUUUUUCAGCCUAUAUACCGCCGUCGUCAGCUUACCUUUUAAAAGCCACAAAGUAAGCCAAGUAGUUAAUCACUAAUAAGUCAGGUCAAGGUGUAGCUUAUAGAGAGGAGGAAAUGGGCUACAUUUUUUAAUCUAAACUAAACGGACUUCACCCUGAACACACUUUAAAGGAAAAUAAAGGCGGAUUUAGCAGUAAUUUAAACAAGAACAUUUAAAUUAACAUUUAGCCCUGAGACAUGUACACA
rnacentral:rRNA from 1 species